UUAUUUGUUUCAGAAUCAGUUCAAUGAUGGGAAUCUGAAUGGAUGAAUAUUGGAGACAACAAACUAAAAAAGAUAAAAGACAGCAUUCACCCCUGGGAAACUUCUUAUCAAACGAAUAGGAGGGAAGAGGUUAUCAUCUACCGACUCAGAAUUGGACACACAAGAAUAACACACGGGUUCUUAAUGGGAAGGUGUUAGGUGAAGUUAGAGUGGGCCUUUGAGUCAAACCGAACCUUAACAGGUCAAUCAAGUGGCUACAAUUAAUCUGGUACGCCAUUUUUUUUUUGCCAAAAAAACCACUAAUUGUUCUUUUUUCACAAUUAACACAAUGACUGUUGUCAGUAAAAAAUAAAUAUUUUUUGGUUUGUUUUUGAAGUGUUAGGUGGAGCCUGGUUCGUGUCAAAUAUGGUGUGCUGUAAUUUUUUGCCUUCCCUCUGAUCAUCCAAUCUUUCGUUGUCGUUGGCCAACAAAAAAUAAAUUGGAACAAAUAUUUGUAUAAUGUUUUUUACAAUAUGGCAUGCCAUAAUUUGUUUGUUGAUAAAUCUUUUUUUCCUCCUCAAUAAUACAUUAUUUGACUGUUGUUGGCUAACAAAAAAAUAUACAAUUGUUUUUUUUAAUAUUAGCCAAAGCUUGAAUGGGCCUUCAGCCUUCAAAUCAAUAUGGUGCGUCGUAUUGAAGUCAGAUAAUAAACCGACCAAGAGCUUAAUAAAAAAAAAUUGGGAUCAAAAUGAAAAAAAAAAAGUUUCCUUCAAGUUAGUCUUGAUGCUUCCAUUUUCAAAAGGUAUCAACUACAGAUACGUACCCAACAUAG